UACAGAGGUCUCAAGCGUUGUUCGGAUUCAUUGGGCGUAAAGGGUGCGUAGGUGGCGCCGUAAGUCGGGUGUGAAAUUUCGGAGCUUAACUCCGAAACUGCAUUCGAUACUGCGGUGCUUGAGGACUGGAGAGGAGACUGGAAUUCAUGGUGUAGCAGUGAAAUGCGUAGAGAUCAUGAGGAAGACCAGUGGCGAAGGCGGGUCUCUGGACAGUUCCUGACACUGAGGCACGGAAGGCCAGGGGAGCAAACGGG
rnacentral:rRNA from 1 species